UACAGAGGGUGCGAGCGUUAAUCGGAAUUACUGGGCGUAAAGGGUGCGUAGGUGGUUAUUUAAGUCAGAUGUGAAAUCCCUAGGCUUAACCUAGGAAUUGCGUUUGAGACUGGCUAGCUAGAGUGCAGUAGAGGGAAGUGGAAUUUCCGGUGUAGCGGUGAAAUGCGUAGAUAUCGGAAGGAACAUCAGUGGCGAAGGCGACUUCCUGGACUGUAACUGACACUGAGGCACGAAAGCGUGGGGAGCGAACAGG
rnacentral:rRNA from 1 species